rnacentral:lncRNA from 1 species
CUGAGGGCUAAACUUCCAGGAAGGCCGACGAGGGAUUGCCUGUUUUCAGAUCCUGCUAGAGACGGAAAAAGGUUGAGUUUUGCUUUGUUUGGUGCUUCCCUUCAUUUUUGAAGUUGUUGUAAUCGCUAAUAACGCCUUGUGACAUAUUUGCAGUUUACUAAAGAUUUGGAAUCUCAAUGAUUUGAAUGGAGUGAUUGGAGUGUUCAACUGUCAAGGGGCUAGAUGGUGUAGAAUUGGAAAGAGAAACCUCAUUCACGACGAACGACCGGAUACAAUAACUGGAACCGUUCGGGCUAAUGAUGUGGACUACUUACCAAGAAUUGCUCCUGAUGGAUGGAGAGGCGAUGCUGUUGUCUAUUCUCAUAUUCAUGGUGGAACUGAAACACGCGCCCGCCCUUUUUCAUCAAAGGCUUAGUUGAAUUUUUCUUUAAUUUGCUUUGUUAUCUACUGCAGGAAAUCUAGUCUACCUUCCAAGCAAUGCUGCUCUGCCAAUUACACUGAUGGCACGGGAGUACGAGGUUUUCACGGUUGUUCCUGUCAAGGAAACAUCAAAUGGUUCUCGAUUCGCUCCUAUAGGCCUCAUCAGGAUGUUCAAUUCAGGUGGAGCGGUCAAAGAAGUAGGUUAUGAAAAGGUUGAUGCGGGGAACAUACGCAUCAAAACACGGGGAUGUGGUACUUUUGGAGCCUAUUCAUCAGUCAGACCCAAAAGAAUCACAGUUGACACAGAGGAAGUCCAGUUUCAUUUUGAAGAAGCCUCUGGAUUGGUAACCCUCGAUCUCUCAGUCCCAGAGAGAGAGUUGUACCUCUGGACCAUCAACAUUGAAGUCUAAACAAUUAGUUACAGCAUUGAAGGCCGGGCCCCAUUAAUUUAGAACUCUGUAAACCUCCUUUAACACAACUACUAUUUCGUUGCAACGGUAAAAGAUGGCAUGCCCAAAAAUCAGCGGAUGGUUUUGGAUUGGAUAGGCUCUAUAUGUUUCGCAAACCCAUCAUCUCGAAGAACCUUUUGCUUCAUACUCCUAGAUUUUUUACCAUUUCAUCUUAUGAACGAGACAAAGAUAUUCCAUAACGAAAAUAAUGUUGGAAUGUAUGCCCUAAAACAAUGUAUUUGUUUUUAUAUUAUACAUUCCUUAUUAUAUGUUUUGUAUUUUAAUAACUUCUUAUUUAUCUGUUAAAUACUCUAUUAGAUACAACCGAUAAAGUCCUUAUAAUAUUACUAAUGUGAUGAUAGUCACAAGAGUUGGUGACUAUGAGAUAUCAAUCACAUUUAUAGUAAUAUUAUUAAAAUUCCCUAGUUUUUGUACUAAUGAAAUAGGACGUCUUUAGUACGGUAAAACUAGUACACAGUUAGCCUCUAAUUAAUGUAAUUAGUGGUUGUUCUCAUCAACUAUGGUAUGAAGAUACUUAGGCUAAUGUAUAGAUGAUUUGAAAAGUACAAAUGCAUUGGAGUGAUCCGUUUAGAGAUCCCGUCAGGAUAUCUAUCUAGUGCCAAUGGUGUAUCUCUAGUGAAAAAUUGUGUAAGUGAUCCUACGACUUGAGAUCACCAUAGUAUCUUGAGUGUGAAUCGCUACAUUUUGACUCUAUUUACUUGUUACUCUUCGUGAGUACCUUAAAGUGUAGAAGUUGGAUGUAGUGUGAAGCACAUAAAGAAAAUGGGUGAUCAAGAUAGGAUUUACCACUCUGAUAGAAGGAGUUGAUAUCCGGAUGGCCACUAGUGAGAAAUUAACCCUAAAGUCGACUAUUAGGUAAAUUGAAGAAUGUCUUCAAUUUAACCUAAUUAAGGGUAAAUUUCGGGAACUAGAAAAUUUAAUUAGUCAUCAGGGAAUUGACACUUAUUCCUUAUUCCUGACUAAUUGGAUUUCUUUGGUGAAAGGAUAAUAAUUACACGGUAAUUUUUCACGGAAAGGUUAGGUCAAAUUCCCUUGACUAAUUCCGAAUAAUUGGGCAAUCACGAUGUGUUGCUAGACACCGCUCGUGAUUUAUAAUUAUGGAUUAAUUAUAUAUUAUAAGUUAUGAUAAAAUAAAGUCGUUUAUUUUAUCUAAUUAUUAAACCAUAAUUAUUACCAAUGUAUUCGGGACCUAUUGGGUCACACGCAAUAGCACCCUUCAUUUUUGAAGUUGUUGUAAUCGCUAAUAACGCCUUGUGACAUAUUUGCAGUUUACUAAAGAUUUGGAAUCUCAAUGAUUUGAAUGGAGUGAUUGGAGUGUUCAACUGUCAAGGGGCUAGAUGGUGUAGAAUUGGAAAGAGAAACCUCAUUCACGACGAACGACCGGAUACAAUAACUGGAACCGUUCGGGCUAAUGAUGUGGACUACUUACCAAGAAUUGCUCCUGAUGGAUGGAGAGGCGAUGCUGUUGUCUAUUCUCAUAUUCAUGGUGGAACUGAAACACGCGCCCGCCCUUUUUCAUCAAAGGCUUAGUUGAAUUUUUCUUUAAUUUGCUUUGUUAUCUACUGCAGGAAAUCUAGUCUACCUUCCAAGCAAUGCUGCUCUGCCAAUUACACUGAUGGCACGGGAGUACGAGGUUUUCACGGUUGUUCCUGUCAAGGAAACAUCAAAUGGUUCUCGAUUCGCUCCUAUAGGCCUCAUCAGGAUGUUCAAUUCAGGUGGAGCGGUCAAAGAAGUAGGUUAUGAAAAGGUUGAUGCGGGGAACAUACGCAUCAAAACACGGGGAUGUGGUACUUUUGGAGCCUAUUCAUCAGUCAGACCCAAAAGAAUCACA